CCUACGGGAGACAGCAGUGGGGAAUAUUGGGCAAUGGGCGCAAGCCUGACCCAGCAACGCCGCGUGAAGGAAGAAGGCUUUCGGGUUGUAAACUUCUUUUAAGGGGGAAGAGCAGAAGACGGUACCCCUUGAAUAAGCCACGGCUAACUACGUGCCAGCAGCCGCGGUAAUACGUAGGGGGCAAGCGUUGUCCGGAUUUACUGGGUGUAAAGGGCGUGCAGCCGGAGAGACAAGUCAGAUGUGAAAUCCACGGGCUCAACCCGUGAACUGCAUUUGAAACUGUUUCCCUUGAGUGUCGGAGAGGUAAUCGGAAUUCCUGGUGUAGCGGUGAAAUGCGUAGAUAUAAGGAAGAACACCAGUGGCGAAGGCGGAUUACUGGACGAUAACUGACGGUGAGGCGCGAAAGCGUGGGGAGCAAACAGGAUUAGAUACCCCUGUAGUC
rnacentral:rRNA from 1 species